AUGUCGGUAUUUUGUUUACCAAAGGGUGUCUGCAAAGAUAUUACUGAUGUCAUUGCUCAAUUUUGGUGGGGGGAUGAGGAAGAGAAUAAAAAGAUGCAUUGGUUCUCAUGGUGGAAACUUUGUAUCCCGAAGAGUGAUGGUGGCAUGGGCUUUAGAGACCUCCAUUCUUUUAAUCUAGCACUCUUGGCAAAACAAUGCUGGAGAAUGAUAAACAAUCCUGAUUCGGUCUGUGCUAGGAUUUUGAAGGCUAAAUACUUCCCAAAUACUGAUUUGCUGCAUGCAGGACCAAAAAACGGCUCUUCUUUCACAUGGCAGAGUAUAAUAGCCGGUUUGCCUACUUUUAAGAGAGGGUAUAUAUGGCGCAUUGGAUCAGGGGAGAAAGUCGACAUUUGGAAUGACCCAUGGAUUCCU
rnacentral:rRNA from 1 species